GACGAACGCUGGCGGCGUGCUUAACACAUGCAAGUCGAACGGAAAGGCCCUGCUUUUGUGGGGUGCUCGAGUGGCGAAAGGGUGAGUAACACGUGAGUAACCUGCCCUUGACUUUGGGAUAACUUCAGGAAACUGGGGCUAAUACCGGAUAUGAGCUCCUGCUGCAUGGUGGGGGUUGGAAAGUUUCGGCGGUUGGGGAUGGACUCGCGGCUUAGCAGCUUGUUGGUGGGGUAGUGGCUUACCAAGGCUUUGACGGGUAGCCGGCCUGAGAGGGUGACCGGCGACAUUGGGACUGAGAUACGGCCCAGACUCCUACGGGAGGCAGCAGUGGGGAAUAUUGCACAAUGGGCGGAAGCCUGAUGCAGCAACGCCGCGUGCGGGAUGACGGCCUUCGGGUUGUAAACCGCUUUCGCCUGUGACGAAGCGUGAGUGACGGUAAUGGGUAAAGAAGCACCGGCUAACUACGUG
rnacentral:rRNA from 1 species